rnacentral:rRNA from 1 species
UACGGAAGGGGCAAGCGUUGUUCGGAAUUACUGGGCGUAAAGCGUGCGCAGGCGGUUAUGUAAGACAGGGGUGAAAUCCCCGGGCUUAACCUGGGAACUGCAUUUGUGACUGCAUAGCUAGAGUACGGUAGGGGCAGAGGGAAUUCCCAGUGGAGCGGUGAAAUGCGUAGAGAUUGGGAGGAACACCAAAGGCGAAAGCACUCUGCUGGGCCGCAACUGACACUGAGAGACGAAAGCGAGGGGAGCAAAUGGG